rnacentral:lncRNA from 1 species
CCAAUCAGCACUCUGUAAAAUGGACCAAUCAGCAGGAUGCAGGCGGGGCCAAUAAGGGAAUAAAGGCUGGCCAUCGCGGCCAGCUUCCCCGUUCGGGUCCCCUCCCACAUUGUGGGAGAUUUGUUCUUUCCCCUUUUGCAAUAAAUCUUGCUGCUGCUCACUUUUUAGGUCCACACUACCUUUAUGAGCUGUAACACUCAUGGUGAAGGUUUGCAGCUUCACUCCUGAAGCCAGCCAGACCAGGAACCCACCAUGAGAAACAAACAACUCUGGAGCCGCCAUAAGACUCACUGUGGCUUUAAGAGCUAUAAGACUCACUGUGAAGGUCUGCGGCUUCACCCCUGAAGUCAGCCAGACCACGAACCCACCGGGAGGAACAAACAACUCCGGACGCACCACCUUUAAGAGCUGUAACGCUCACUGCAAAGGUCUGCGGCUUCACUCAUGAAGUCGUGCAUAGACCACGAACCCAGUAGAAGGAAGAAACUCCUGACACAUCUGAACAUCUGAAGGAACAAACUCUGGACACACCGUCUUUAAGAAGUGUAACACUGCGAGGGUCCGCGGCUUCAUUCUUGAAGUCAGCGGCACCAGGAACCCAUUGGAGGGAACCAAUUCCGGACACACAGCCUCGUGGAAUGGUUCUGCACAGUGUGUGUGUGUUUCCCGUCAACCCUGUGCACACUAUUAAAAGAACACAAGCGCUAAGCCUCCCUCUCAGACCUACUGAUGCAAGACAUUGUGAUUUUGACCUUGUUGGAUGCUGCACCUAAAGGUGGAUGGAAGAGGAAGAGUCUUGGGGGCUACCAUCCUGGCUGGAGAAGCUGGCACGAGGCUCCCUCUUGUGGAUGCAGCAAGGACUGUUAAAAAUCUCCCAAGGCAGAGACUUUUAGGCCUACAUGUACUUAGCCUCCUCUUCCCACCUCCUGUUCAUCUCUGUUUCCAAUGUUCCACUGCCAUCACUGCCAGGAAGUUCUGCAGAGAAGAAUGAAGAAGAACCGUAUGAUCCUAAACAUGUUCUUUGAAGAUAUUAUCAACCCACCAUUGGCCUUAUUUACUGGAAUGUUUUUAUAACCUUUAUUUGACACCUCUUCCCAUCAUUUAAAAUAAAUCUGGUGCUUCCCUGAAUAAUCUCUUGAGAUUUGUACAUGUCUCCCAGCAUCAUAUUUGUCCUUUUAACAAGCACACUCCUUCCACUGCUCAUGGCCAACUCAGGUUCACUACAAUCAGGGAAUCUAUGUCUUGCAACAAUCAGGUCUAUAUCAAACUUGAAUUUAUUUUCUUUUGUUUCUGAGAACUGUAAUUCCACUCCAAGGCCUAUACUGUACCCAACAGAGCUGCAUAUAUGUUUAACGAAAACAUGUCUUAGAAUAUUCACAAUACUUCUACUACUUAUGCCCUCAAACUGCAAACUACCCAAAUACCGGAGAAUAGAAUGGAUGAAUGAAUUGUAGUAAUAUUUAUUGAAUGCAAUAUAAUAAUGAUAAUGAAUUAACUGGAACUAUAUCCAAGAAGGAUGAAUCUCACAGACAUUAUGUUGGCUGAAAUGAGCCAAUCACAGAAGUGUACAUACUCUAUAACUGCUACAGAAAGUUCAAAGAACAGGCAAAACCAAUGCACAAUGUUAGAAGCUGGGAUUGCAUUUAUCCUGGGGUAGGGGAUGGGGUAUUGGCUGGAAGUAGGGGUGAGGAGGCCCUCUGCUGUUUUUGUUGUAUUCUCUUUAUCUGGGUGCUGGUUUUGAGGGUGUGUUCACUUUGUGAAAAUCCACUGAGCUGUAAACUUAUGUACAUUUCUAUAUGUGUGUUUUUAUAAAACUUACAGAAAACAAAGAAGAAAUAUAUUGCCGUAUAUUGAUUGGACUCUAUUCUGGGCUAUCUUGGAAACUGCAGCUUGAAGACAGCUAGGCCUCAGCAUAUGCCCUGACCUCCUGCAAUCUAAGCUCUGGAUCCUGGUCAACUUUGGGAGAAUAAUCAAGCCAAUUUUCAGAGAAGCAGUUUCUAUGUCUUUCAGGUCCUUGUGUCCUAAGGGAUUAGGAGCAUUAGGGACCUGGUCUCAGUGUGAUCCUGAGAGCUCAUCCAUUCUCUGGUCAUCCUUCAAGGAAAUGCCAGGCUCCUGAAUUCAUCUGCACAAACAGAGCUGGCCAGGCUACCUGCUGCCCACCAUCCCAUUGUCUUUCCUGCAUUGUUCUGGGACUCUGGCCACACUUACCUUCCAAAAUAACUGUGCAGUUGUCAUCAUUGUUCAGGAGACUAUUUUGGAACACUGGCUUAGCUUGGUGACGUGUAGAGAUCCAGGAAGGGCCUCAGCUGUCGGGAGGGAGGCCCAGGGCCAUCAGGGAGCUGGGGGUGGUAAGAAGUGACAGGGAUUGGGCUUCAGGAGGUGUGGAGGGGCCCAGGGGGAGCACCAUUUCUGACAAGUGUUCAGUCUUGGUGUGGAGAAUUGCAAAGAAAGAGGAGAAAGGAUUUGGGGGGAUUGGGUGCAGGUUGGAGGGAAGCUGGGAGGGGAGAAAAGAGUGAAGGAACAUUAGAUUGAUUAGUGCUGGAGGAAGAGGUAAGGAGAGACUUCGUUCACAGAGGAGGGGCUGGGAAGUGAGGGUAUGAGUUAAAGGGCACUAAUGGUAUGCUGACAUAUUGUUUCAAGAGUGGUUUCUGUAGCCUGGAGGACUUAAGGACAGCUGUUGGGAAUCUACGGGGUGAUAGAAAAGUAAGUGGGAGAAAGGGGAUGUGAUGAUUGAUGGGCAGCUUAGUGUCGAGUCAGGUGACAUCCUGCCAUGUUUAGCAAUGUAAUAAGUGGUCAGAUGACCUCACAAUCUUCAGGGCUGGGAGAUGGCAGAACCUUCUCACAGGGGUUGUGACAGAGGAGUUGGGUAGAUGUGUUCUCAGCAUAGAUGUGUUCUCAGUGGGCAAAGGUGGAAUUCCCUUCUCUUUUCUGUUUUCGCUUGACAACACAGGCCUGCAGAAACAGCAUACCAUGAGUUAAAACCCCUCAAUUGCAUGGGUUUUUGCACCCCCAUGAUUUGACAGGGUCUCUAGCUCUUUGAAAGUCUGCAACAAGACAGAAGAAAAGUCUGGGCUCCUGUGGGGGUGUUACAUGUGCUUGUGUACAAAUUAGCCCCCACAGGACUCUGCAGCUCCACGUUGCUCUGCUGGGCACUGGGGCCAUGUGCUCUGUUGGUCUAUGGGAACCUCUGUCUCCCUAGAGUUACAGUUUAAGAGAGGGGUUUCCAAAAAAGGUUGCUAAUGUCCCAGGAUUUUAUGGACUUUAAGUAAAACUUCUUUUUUUCUGUUGUACUCAGAAUGUUUUGAAGCUUUGUUCCUAGGUUACCUCACAGUGCCUGAAUUCUUUCCUUUCUUUUCUUAGACAUGGGGUCUUGCUCUCUCACCCACGCUGGAGCGUAGCAGCUAUUCACAGGUGUGAUCAUAGCACACCACAGCCUCCUGGGCUCAAGCAAUCCCCCUGCUUCAGCCUCCUGAGUAGCUGGGACCAUAAGCAGGAGCCCAUACCCAGCUUCAAUUCUUCUUUUCCUACAAUAAGUUCUGGUCCAGAAAAUUUUGCAACUCACCCCCGCCCUUCACUCCACAAAAAGACUUCCACUGGGAUUCCUGUCAAAAUGCCAGACUCACUUGAAUCCCUAGGAUGGAUCCAGCCUCGGUUUAAGUGCAGAUUCCUGCUUCAUCUCAGAGCCUGGCUGUUUUGAGGAGCAGGUGGUUUUACCCAUCCACCCACUCGCCCCUUGCUUCAUUGUCUAGGCCUGUCCUUUCUCACCUAGUGUCCUAAUCCCCUCCUCACUACCUCACAAUGGAGAAAGCUCUGUGUUGCUUUCUUUCAGGAUUUUCCUGCUUUUCAAAAGAGCUAGGGCACUAUGUGCUUUCAUGCAGGACCUAAGCAAAUAAGGACAUCUCAAGGAGAUGCCUAACUCUUAACCUGGUGCCCACCCCACCCUGGAGAGGACAGUUCUUGUUCAUAGUGUACAUGAUUGUUUAUGUCAAAGACCCAAUGAGUUUGCAAAGACCUCUUAGGACUAAUAAGUGAGUUUAACAAGUUUGCAGGAUAUAAGGUUAACACACACACACAAACAAAUCAAUUGUAUUUUUAUACAUCAGCAUAUUAGGGUUCUCUAGGAAAACAGAACCAAUAGGAUACACACACACACACGUAUAUAUGUGAGAGGUACACACACACGUGUGUGUGUGUGUUUAAAAAGAGCGAGGCAGAGAGAGAUUGGUUAGUUUUAAUGAAUUUGCUUGUGUGAUUGUAGGGGCUGGCAAAUUUGAAUUCUACAGAGCAGGCUGUCAUGGUGGAGACCCAAGGAAGAGCUGAUGUUGCAGCUCAUGCCUGGAGGCCGUCUGCUGGUAGAACUCCCUCUUUUCCAAGGAACCUCAGUCUCUCUUCUCAAGGCCUACAACUGAUUGGCAUCAUCUAGACUGGUGUUUGAGCCCAAACUGUCUACCAUGGCAUGGCCAAGUUGACACAUAAAAUUAACCUCAAGGCUGGGCGUGGUGGCUCACGCCUAUAAUCCCAGCACUUUGGGAGGCCGAGGCGGGUGGAUCACAAGGUCAGGAGAUUGAGACCAUCCUGGCAAACAUGGGGAAACCCCAUCUCUACUAAAAAUACAAAAAAAUUAGCUGGGAGUAGUGGCGGGCGCCUGUAGUCCCAGCUACUCAGGAGGCUGAGGCAGGAGAAUGGUGUGAACCCGGGAGGCGGAGCUUGCAGUGAGCUGAGAUCGUGCCACUGCACUCCAGCCUGGGUAACAGAGUGAGACUCCGUCUCAAAAAAAAAAAAAAAAAAUUAACCAUCACAACCAGAAAUGUGGAAUUGGAUAGGAAAAUUGAAAACCAGUACCACAUAGAAUACCAAAAAAUGAAAUAGAUAAACAUCUUACUGAAAGCUACAAAAUACCAGUGAAAAUACUCAAAGAAGAUAUAAACAAAUAACAAGAAACACCAUAUUUGAAGAUUGGAAGACUUAACUUUAAAAAGUUGCCAAUUCUGCCAAAACUGAUAUAGAGAUUUAAAACAAUUCCAGUCAAAAUCUCACCAGGACAUAUUGUUGCUAUAGACAAGCUGAUUCUAAUGUUUACAUGGAAAGUCCAAGGACUUGAAUAGCUAAAACAACUUUGAAAAAUAAGAAUAAUGGUGUAGGAAACAUGCUACCCAGUUUUAAAACAUACUACAAAGUUACAGUAAUCAGGACAGUAUGGUAUUGCCUGGGAACACAGAGCUCAAUGGAACAGAAUCGAGUCCAGAAAGAUAACUGCUUAAAUAUGGCCAUGUGAUUUUUGACAAGGGUGCAAGGGUAAUUCAGUAAAGGAUCAUAUUUUCAACAAAUGAUGUUAGAACAACUGAACAUUCACAUAAACAAAACAGACAAACAAGAAAACUGAAACCUUACAGCUUGUAUACAAAUGAACUCAAUAUUGAUGAGAUGUAAAAGUGAAGCUCUAAAAAGUUCAGAAAAGAACAUAGUAGAAAAUCUCUUCCUGGGAUUAGGAAAAGAGUUCUUAGACACGGUACUAUAAGCACGAUCCGAAAAAGUUGAUAAAUAGGUCUUUAUUGAAAUUAAAAGACUUAAGAUGCUAUUAAAAGAAUGAAAACAGUAUAGCCCAGGAGAAAAACUUUGCAAGUCACAUAUGUCACAAGACUUUGCAGAAUAUAUAAAUGGCAAAUAAAACACAAAAAGAUGUUCAAUAUCAUUAAGCAUUAGAGACUUGUAAACAAACCAAAUACACCUAUUAGAAUUGCUGAAAAAAGGAAAACCUUUGGUAAUACCAAGAACUGUUGAGAGCAAUUACAUUUUUUUUUUAUUAUUAUUAUACUUUAAGUUCUGGGGUACAAGUGCAGAACGUGCAGUUUUGUUACAUAGGGAUACAUGUGCCAUGGUGGUUUACUGCACCCAUCAACCCAUCACCUACAUUAGGUAUUUAUCCUAAUGUUAUCCCUCCCCUAGCCCCCUACCCCCCGACAGGCUCUGGUGUGUGAUGUACCCCUUCCUAUGUCCAUGUGUUCUCAUUGUUCAACUCCCAC